rnacentral:snRNA from 1 species
AACUUGGCUCAGUGGUAGUAUUGUAGUCAAUGAGGUUUAUCCAAGGCGUGAUUAUUGCUAACUGAAACGUAGUGUCCAGGAGCUGAGGUCACACUCUUCCCUUUAGCUCUGCUCUGCUUUGGUAAGC